rnacentral:misc_RNA from 1 species
AUAUUUCAUGAACAUGGAUUGCGGCCGGCUUCAUCGCGGGGCUGGCCGUGUAGUCUGUGACACCCCUUGUGAAAACCCCAUCUUUGCCUCGGCGGCACGCCUCCCCCACCUCCGGGGUGGCGGUCAGUCCGCCGGCGGCACCCAACCAAAACCCAUAACCAUCAAGAAGAAGCUGUCUGAAAUCAAAGGUCUAAUGACUAUA